rnacentral:rRNA from 1 species
ACGAACGCUGGCGGCGUGCCUAAUACAUGCAAGUAGAACGCUGAAGAGAGGAGCUUGCUCUUCUUGGAUGAGUUGCGAACGGGUGAGUAACGCGUAGGUAACCUGCCUGGUAGCGGGGGAUAACUAUUGGAAACGAUAGCUAAUACCGCAUAAAAUUGAUUAUUGCAUGAUAAUUAAUUGAAAGAUGCAAUUGCAUCACUACCAGAUGGACCUGCGUUGUAUUAGCUAGUUGGUGAGGUAACGGCUCACCAAGGCGACGAUACAUAGCCGACCUGAGAGGGUGAUCGGCCACACUGGGACUGAGACACGGCCCAGACUCCUACGGGAGGCAGCAGUAGGGAAUCUUCGGCAAUGGGGGGAACCCUGACCGAGCAACGCCGCGUGAGUGAAGAAGGUUUUCGGAUCGUAAAGCUCUGUUGUAAGAGAAGAACGGGUGUGAGAGUGGAAAGUUCACACUGUGACGGUAUCUUACCAGAAAGGGACGGCUAACUACGUG